UACGGAGGGUGCAAGCGUUAUCCGGAUUCACUGGGCGUAAAGGGUGCGUAGGCGGGUUUUUAAGUCAGGGGUGAAAUCCUGGAGCUCAACUCCAGAACUGCCUUUGAUACUGAAGAUCUUGAGUCCGGGAGAGGUGAGUGGAACUGCGAGUGUAGAGGUGAAAUUCGUAGAUAUUCGCAAGAACACCAGUGGCGAAGGCGGCUCACUGGCCCGGUACUGACGCUGAGGCACGAAAGCGUGGGGAGCAAACAGG
rnacentral:rRNA from 1 species